rnacentral:tRNA from 1 species
GGAGGGGUGGCCGAGCGGUUGAAGGCAACGGUCUUGAAAACCGUCGUGCGCGAGAGCGUACCGUGGGUUCGAAUCCCACCCCCUCCGCCA